AUGGCCCUCAGUCAAAACAGUGGGCGACCUAUUGCUGAAGGCAUCUCUGGAGGAAGCUCAUCUGACCCAACCAACCCCCAGGACACAAGGGCCUACAUAAGAGUUACUGAUGGUGUAAUCUGUCUGGUGGAGCCUUCUGCCAUAACAGACCUCCAUGCAGUUGAGGAUGAUGAUGAAGACACCUUGUCAGCUGCCACAGAGAGGGAAGAUACAGAGAGACCUAUUGAGGUUCACACCUUAAAAGUAACAUCUAACAGUUGAUGAUAGUGUUGUACCAAAAAUAAAACUUGCACAUUCUUUUUCUGUAAGAGCGAAAAAGAUGCUGGAAAUUACAAUGAGGAAGAGGGUCCAUCCACCUCCACAGCACAACUUACCUCAGUAAGAUGUUGUUCAGCAUUGGCCCAUGACUUACAAUGAAACUAAGUAGACCUGGCACUG